CUCAGUUCACUUAUCUAAUCAAGUUCUCUGCAAAGCCCUACAAACUGUUGUACUGGCAAAAUGAGGGAAUGAUGGAGGAAUGGAAAUGAGUAACCUGAGUUAUAGCUACUCAGAUCACUCAAAUGGGAUCAUUUCUGUUUGCUGUUUGAAUGGGCAUGUGAACACCGCUGGCAAGAACUCUUGCAUGUGCAGAUGCAAAAUAUAUUCCUGUGCUCUAAGGGCAGAUAAGAUGACCUAGGGAACUAGCGACCUGUCAGCCUCAUCUCUGUGCCGGACAAGAUCAUGGAAAAGAUCUCCCCAGGAGCUAGGCUAAGGCACAUGGAAGAGAGAGAGGUGAUGCAAGACAACCAGCAUGGUUUCACCAUGAACAACCUAGUGGCCUUCUAUGAUGGUGUAAAUGCAUCAGUGGACAAGAGAAAAUAACUUGAUGUCAUCUAUCCAGAAUUCAGUUAAGUCUUUGAUACAGUCCCCCAAAAUUCCCUUCUCUCCAAAUUGUAGAGAUGUGGACUUGAUAGAUAGCCUGUUCAAUGGAUGAGGAACUGGUUGCAAGACUGCACCCAGAGAGUGGUUGUCAAUAGCUCAGUGUUCAGAUGGAGAUAAGUGAUGAGUGGCGUCUCUCAGGAGUCAGUACUGGGACCAAUGCUGUUUAACGUUGUAUGGCAAACAGGUAGUAGACCACAGAGAUUAUUGCAUCACAAAGUAAAAAUGAAAUAAAGAUCUUACCCAUUUCCUGGGCUCACAGAAGAGCUCCAAGAGGAGCAAUCUCCAGAUAGAGAUCCUUCCUCCUUGGGAGUCAGCCCUUAAAUGGGGUCUAGGAGAGGUGGAGCAGGCUCCACCCCUUCCAGUCACUCAGGUGAAAUUGCGUUCACCUGUGCCCCUGCAGAUGACUCAGCGCUUGUCUCAGGUGGUCAAUCAGAGGUUCAGGCUAGGAUUCAACAGUUCCCAUACAAAUAUCUUCAUCAGUGAUGUCAACAGUGGGAUUGAGUGCACCCUCAGCAAGUCUGUAGAUGACACAAAGCUGUAUGGUACAACUUAUAUGUCCAAGGAAUAAGAUGCCAUCCAAAGAGAUCUAGAUAGGAUAAAGCAGUGGGCCCAGGAGAACCUCAUGAGGUUCAAUAAAUUCAAGUGCAAGGUCUUGUCCUGCAUCACAGCAACCAUUUGUAUAAUAAUCACAUGGGGAAUGAAAGGAUACAGCACAGCCUUGCCAUAAAGGACUUGGAGGUACUGGUGAAUAUGAACCAGCAAUGCACCUUCACAGCCCAGAAAGCCAACUGUAUUCAACAUCCCCUUCAUUGCAAGGGAUGGGACUAGAUGACCUUUAAAGGUCCCUUCUAACUCAAAUGAUUCUAUAAUAUCCCAAGUUGGAAGAGACCCACAAGAAUCAGUGUGUUCAGCUCUUGAGUCUACCCAAGACUACUCAAAAAUUCUGAAAGUGUUGUCCAAAUGCUUUUUGAACCCUGUCAAGUUUGGUGCUGUGACCAUUGCUCUGAGGAGCCUGUUUCAGGGCCCAACCACCCACUCUGUAAAGAAACCCUGACAUAGCUCUAUCCCAUUCCCUCAGGUCCUGUCUCUGCCACCAGGAAGCAGAGAUCAGUGUUGCCCCUCCACUCUCCUCGUGAGGCAACUGUAGUCUUUUAUGAGGUCUCCUCUCAGUAUUCUGUUCCAAUAUUUUGGAAAUAUAUGUGUUGUUUUUUUUUU
ensembl:lncRNA